rnacentral:rRNA from 1 species
GAUGAACGCUGGCGGCGUGCCUAAUACAUGCAAGUCGAACGCUUCACUUCGGUGAAGAGUGGCGAACGGGUGAGUAAUACAUAAGUAACCUGGCAUCUACAGGGGGAUAACUGAUGGAAACGUCAGCUAAGACCGCAUAGGUGUAGAGAUCGCAUGAACUCUAUAUGAAAAGUGCUACGGGACUGGUAGAUGAUGGACUUAUGGCGCAUUAGCUUGUUGGUAGGGUAACGGCCUACCAAGGCGACGAUGCGUAGCCGACCUGAGAGGGUGACCGGCCACACUGGGACUAAGACACGGCCCAGACUCCUACGGGGGGCAGCAGUAGGGAAUUUUCGGCAAUGGGGGAAACCCUGACCGAGCAACGCCGCGUGAAGGAAGAAGUAAUUCGUUAUGUAAACUUCUGUCAUAGAGGAAGAACGGUGGAUAUAGGGAAUGAUAUCAAAGUGACGGUACUCUAUAAGAAAGCCACGGCUAACUACGUG